AUUGAACGCUGGCGGCAUGCUUUACACAUGCAAGUCGAACGAUAACAGGACUUCGUGUCCUGUCUAGUGGCGGACGGGGGCGUAAUGCAUCGACACGUACCCCGAGCUGGUGGAUAACGCAGCACAAGCUGUACUAGUACCUCAUGUGAUCUGAUGAUGAAAGCGGGGGACCGCGCUGCAAAGUUUCGCCUCUCGCCUUUGUAAUAGCCGAUGUCGCAUUAGCUAGUUGGUUGGGUAAAGGCUUACCAAGGCGACGAUGCGUAGCUGAUCUGAGAGGAUGAUCAGCCACACUGGAACUGAGACACGGUCCAGACUCCUACGGGAGGCAGCAGUAGGGAAUCUUCGGCAAUGGGCGAAAGCCUGACGGAGCAACGCCGCGUGCGGGAAGAAGGUCUUCGGAUCGUAAAACUCUUUUAGCAGGGAAGAAAAAAUGUGUAAGAAAACAGGCAGGUCAUGACGGUACCUAAACAGAAAGCCACGGCUAACUACGUG
rnacentral:rRNA from 1 species